AACGCUGGCGGCAGGCCUAACACAUGCAAGUCGAGCGGUAACAGAGAGUAGCUUGCUACUUUGCUGACGAGCGGCGGACGGGUGAGUAAUGCUUGGGAACAUGCCUUGAGGUGGGGGACAACAGUUGGAAACGACUGCUAAUACCGCAUAAUGUCUACGGACCAAAGGGGGCUUCGGCUCUCGCCUUUAGAUUGGCCCAAGUGGGAUUAGCUAGUUGGUGAGGUAAUGGCUCACCAAGGCGACGAUCCCUAGCUGGUUUGAGAGGAUGAUCAGCCACACUGGGACUGAGACACGGCCCAGACUCCUACGGGAGGCAGCA
rnacentral:rRNA from 1 species